CCUGAAACCCAAGAACUGCUGCUGCUUACAGCAGUGGCUUAAAGAGAUGCUGAUAGCAAGCAGAUCUCCUUCAAUUUGGGGGGACUAUUAAAUUAAAGGGAAUUUAGAGGUUAACAUAC